rnacentral:rRNA from 1 species
UACGAAGGGGGCUAGCGUUGCUCGGAAUCACUGGGCGUAAAGGGCGCGUAGGCGGAUCUUUAAGUCGGGGGUGAAAGCCUGAGGCUCAACCUCAGAAUUGCCUUCGAUACUGGAGAUCUUGAGACCGGAAGAGGUGAGUGGAACUGCGAGUGUAGAGGUGAAAUUCGUAGAUAUUCGCAAGAACACCAGUGGCGAAGGCGGCUCACUGGUCCGGUUCUGACGCUGAGGUGCGAAAGCUAGGGGAGCAAACGGG